GUGGGGAAUAUUGCACAAUGGGCGAAAGCCUGAUGCAGCGACGCCGCGUGGAGGAUGAAGGUUUUCGGAUUGUAAACUCCUGUUAAGUGGGAAGAAAGAACACGGGUUAAUACCCCGUGGAGAUGACGGUACCACUAGAGAAAGCACCGGCUAACUUCGUGCCAGCAGCCGCGGUAAUACGAGGGGUGCAAGCGUUAUUCGGAAUAACUGGGCGUAAAGAGCGCGUAGGCGGCUUGUUAAGUCUGUUGUUAAAUUACCUAGCUUAACUGGGAAGAGGCAAUAGAAACUGGCGAGCUAGAGGACAAGAGAGAGAAGUGGAAUUCUCGGAGUAGCGGUAAAAUGCGUAGAUCUCGAGAGGAACACCGAUGGCGAAGGCAGCUUCUUGGCUUGUAUCUGACGCUCAAGUGCGAAAGCGUGGGGAGCAAACAGGAUUAGAAACCCCAGUAGUCC
rnacentral:rRNA from 1 species